rnacentral:rRNA from 1 species
AGAGUUUGAUCAUGGCUCAGAUUGAACGCUGGCGGCAGGCCUAACACAUGCAAGUCGAGCGGUAGCACAGAGAGCUUGCUCUCGGGUGACGAGCGGCGGACGGGUGAGUAAUGUCUGGGAAACUGCCUGAUGGAGGGGGAUAACUACUGGAAACGGUAGCUAAUACCGCAUAAUGUCGCAAGACCAAAGUGGGGGACCUUCGGGCCUCAUGCCAUCAGAUGUGCCCAGAUGGGAUUAGCUAGUAGGUGGGGUAACGGCUCACCUAGGCGACGAUCCCUAGCUGGUCUGAGAGGAUGACCAGCCACACUGGAACUGAGACACGGUCCAGACUCCUACGGGAGGCAGCAGUGGGGAAUAUUGCACAAUGGGCGCAAGCCUGAUGCAGCCAUGCCGCGUGUGUGAAGAAGGCCUUCGGGUUGUAAAGCACUUUCAGCGGGGAGGAAGGCGNCGAUUGACGUUACCCGCAGAAGAAGCACCGGCUAACUCCGUGCCAGCAGCCGCGGUAAUACGGAGGGUGCAAGCGUUAAUCGGAAUUACUGGGCGUAAAGCGCACGCAGGCGGUCUGUCAAGUCGGAUGUGAAAUCCCCGGGCUCAACCUGGGAACUGCAUUCGAAACUGGCAGGCUAGAGUCUUGUAGAGGGGGGUAGAAUUCCAGGUGUAGCGGUGAAAUGCGUAGAGAUCUGGAGGAAUACCGGUGGCGAAGGCGGCCCCCUGGACAAAGACUGACGCUCAGGUGCGAAAGCGUGGGGAGCAAACAGGAUUAGAUACCCUGGUAGUCCACGCCGUAAACGAUGUCGAUUUGGAGGUUGUGCCCUUGAGGCGUGGCUUCCGGAGCUAACGCGUUAAAUCGACCGCCUGGGGAGUACGGCCGCAAGGUUAAAACUCAAAUGAAUUGACGGGGGCCCGCACAAGCGGUGGAGCAUGUGGUUUAAUUCGAUGCAACGCGAAGAACCUUACCUGGUCUUGACAUCCACAGAACUUUCCAGAGAUGGAUUGGUGCCUUCGGGAACUGUGAGACAGGUGCUGCAUGGCUGUCGUCAGCUCGUGUUGUGAAAUGUUGGGUUAAGUCCCGCAACGAGCGCAACCCUUAUCCUUUGUUGCCAGCGGUUNGGCCGGGAACUCAAAGGAGACUGCCAGUGAUAAACUGGAGGAAGGUGGGGAUGACGUCAAGUCAUCAUGGCCCUUACGACCAGGGCUACACACGUGCUACAAUGGCAUAUACAAAGAGAAGCGACCUCGCGAGAGCAAGCGGACCUCAUAAAGUAUGUCGUAGUCCGGAUUGGAGUCUGCAACUCGACUCCAUGAAGUCGGAAUCGCUAGUAAUCGUAGAUCAGAAUGCUACGGUGAAUACGUUCCCGGGCCUUGUACACACCGCCCGUCACACCAUGGGAGUGGGUUGCAAAAGAAGUAGGUAGCUUAACCUUCGGGAGGGCGCUUACCACUUUGUGAUUCAUGACUGGGGUGAAGUCGUAACAAGGUAACCGUAGGGGAACCUGCGGUUGGAUCACCU